rnacentral:rRNA from 1 species
AUUGAACGCUGGCGGAAUGCUUUACACAUGCAAGUCGAGCGGCAGCGCGGGGCAACCUGGCGGCGAGCGGCGAACGGGUGAGUAAUACAUCGGAACGUGCCCAGACGUGGGGGAUAACUACUCGAAAGAGUGGCUAAUACCGCAUACGAUCUACGGAUGAAAGCGGGGGAUCGCAAGACCUCGCGCGUCUGGAGCGGCUGAUGGCAGAUUAGGUAGUUGGUGGGAUAAAAGACCUACCAAGCCAACGAUCUGUAGCUGGUCUGAGAGGAUGAUCAGCCACACUGGGACUGAGACACGGCCCAGACUCCUACGGGAGGCAGCAGUGGGGAAUUUUGGACAAUGGGCGAAAGCCUGAUCCAGCCAUUCCGCGUGCAGGAUGAAGGCCCUCGGGUUGUAAACUGCUUUUGUUACAGAACGAAAAGACUCUGGCUAAUACCUGGAGUCCAUGACGGUACUGUAAGAAUAAGCA